AUUGAACGCUGGCGGCAUGCUUUACACAUGCAAGUCGAACGGUAACAGGCCGCAAGGUGCUGACGAGUGGCGAACGGGUGAGUAAUGCAUCGGAACGUGCCCAGUCGUGGGGGAUAACUACUCGAAAGAGUAGCUAAUACCGCAUACGAUCUAUGGAUGAAAGCGGGGGACCGGAAGGCCUCGCGCGAUUGGAGCGGCCGAUGUCAGAUUAGGUAGUUGGUGGGGUAAAGGCUCACCAAGCCAACGAUCUGUAGCUGGUCUGAGAGGACGACCAGCCACACUGGGACUGAGACACGGCCCAGACUCCUACGGGAGGCAGCAGUGGGGAAUUUUGGACAAUGGGCGCAAGCCUGAUCCAGCAAUGCCGCGUGCAGGAAGAAGGCCUUCGGGUUGUAAGCUGCUUUUGUACGGAACGAAACGGCUCUGGUUAAUACCCGGGGCUAAUGACGGUACCGUAAGAAUAAGCACCGGCUAACUACGUG
rnacentral:rRNA from 1 species